GACGAACGCUGGCGGCGUGCCUAAUACAUGCAAGUAGAACGCUGAAGGAGGAGCUUGCUUCUCUGGAUGAGUUGCGAACGGGUGAGUAACGCGUAGGUAACCUGCCUGGUAGCGGGGGAUAACUAUUGGAAACGAUAGCUAAUACCGCAUAAGAGUAGAUGUUGCAUGACAUUUACUUAAAAGGUGCAAUUGCAUCACUACCAGAUGGACCUGCGUUGUAUUAGCUAGUUGGUGGGGUAACGGCUCACCAAGGCGACGAUACAUAGCCGACCUGAGAGGGUGAUCGGCCACACUGGGACUGAGACACGGCCCAGACUCCUACGGGAGGCAGCAGUAGGGAAUCUUCGGCAAUGGACGGAAGUCUGACCGAGCAACGCCGCGUGAGUGAAGAAGGUUUUCGGAUCGUAAAGCUCUGUUGUAAGAGAAGAACGAGUGUGAGAGUGGAAAGUUCACACUGUGACGGUAUCUUACCAGAAAGGGACGGCUAACUACGUGCCAGCAGCCGCGGUAAUACGUAGGUCCCGAGCGUUGUCCGGAUUUAUUGGGCGUAAAGCGAGCGCAGGCGGUUAGAUAAGUCUGAAGUUAAAGGCUGUGGCUUAACCAUAGUACGCUUUGGAAACUGUUUAACUUGAGUGCAAGAGGGGAGAGUGGAAUUCCAUGUGUAGCGGUGAAAUGCGUAGAUAUAUGGAGGAACACCGGUGGCGAAAGCGGCUCUCUGGCUUGUAACUGACGCUGAGCUCGAAAGCGUGGGGAGCAAACAGG
rnacentral:rRNA from 1 species